rnacentral:lncRNA from 1 species
GAAAAAUCCUUGUCUUCCAAUAAUCUCCAGGUCUUCCAGUCAAUGUCUUCCUGAAGAUCUAUGUCUUCCAGAAUAUCCGUAUCUUCCUGUAACCUCCCAGUCUUCCAGCAAAUCCACGUCUUCCGGGCACUUCAGGUCUUCCUGAAAAUCCAGGUCUUCCAAAAAACUCAUGUCUUCCAGAAAAUCCACGUCUUCCAGAGAAUUCUGGUCUUCCAUCAAAUCCAUGGCUUCCAAGAAAUCCACGUCUUCCUGCUAAUCUAUGUCUUCCAAAAAAUCCACGUCUUCCAGCAAAGCCAUGUCUUCCAGAAUAAUUCAUGUCUUCCAACAAAGCUACGUCUUCCAGAAAAUACAUGUCUUCCAGCAAAUCUGCGUCUUCCAGCAAAUCCACGUCUUCCAGAAAAAAACCUGUCUUCCAGCAAAUCCCUGUCUUCAGAAAAUCCACGUCUUCCAGAAAACCCACGUCUUCCAGAAAAUCCAUGUCUUCCUGCACCUUCAGGUCUUCCAGCAUCUCCAGGGCUUCCAGCAUCUGCUCGUCUUCCUACAUCUCUGCAUCUUCCAGCAUCAUCACGUCUUCCAACAUCUCCAGGUCUUCCAACAACUACCCAGUCUUCCAUCAGCGGGCUCAAUAUCUACGUCUUCCAAUGUCUUCAGUGUGCUGGUCUAACAUUAAGGUCUUCCAGUCUCUGCAAUAUCCAGAUUGGCUGAGUAUCAUCUGGGAUGAGAAGAAUGAAUGGCUCCUGUAAUGCUGCACACUAGCCCAUUCUUCUUCACAUGCACUCAGGGGUUUCAGGAACAGCAGGAAAAUGGAUUUUGAUCUGUAAGUGCUUUUCUUUUCAUAUAUAUAUAUAUUUAAAGUAUACAAAUUUCAUUUUUUUAUAUAUACAAAUUUUUUAUAUAUAGAGAUUCAGGAAUAUAGUGAUACUUUCCACCCUCCCCUCCCCCCCCUUUACUCCCACCUUUCUUUCUCCUCCCUCUCCUAUUCCAUUCUUAUUUUUUACUAAAGUCUAUUUUCAAUUAAGUUUAUACACAUAAGAUUAACCCUAAACUAAGUAAAGCAUUCAACAAAUAGCAUGAAGAAAGAAACACUGUUCCUCGACAGUAGAGGCAAGAGAUGUUCAAAAUCAUCACAUCUCAAAGUAUCAAUUGCAAUGCUAUAGAGAUUACCUUUUAAGUACUCUGUUAGUUACCACAGAGCAGGGAGAACAUAUGGUAUUUUGGGACUGGCUUAUUUCACUAAAUAUAAUGAUUUACAGUUGAAUCAGUUUUGUUACAAAUGAUGAUUUUAUUUUUAACUGCUGUAUAGUAUUCCACACUGUAUAUAUAACAUAAUCUUCAUCCAGUCAACAGGUGAUGGACAUCUGGGUUGAUUCCAUACCUUAUUUCUUGUGAAUUGAACUGCAAUAAACAUGGGGAUACAGAUAACUCUUUUAUAUGC